UACGGAGGGGACUAGCGUUGUUCGGAAUUACUGGGCGUAAAGCGCACGUAGGCGGAUUUGUAAGUCAGGGGUGAAAAUCCCGAGGCUCAACCUCGGAACUGCCUUUGAUACUGCAAAUCUCGAGUCCGGAAGAGGUGAGUGGAAUUCCUAGUGUAGAGGUGAAAUUCGUAGAUAUUAGGAAGAACACCAGUGGCGAAGGCGGCUCACUGGUCCGGUACUGACGCUGAGGUGCGAAAGCGUGGGGGAGCAAACAGG
rnacentral:rRNA from 1 species